rnacentral:rRNA from 1 species
AGAGUUUGAUCCUGGCUCAGGAUGAACGCUAGCGGCAGGCUUAAUACAUGCAAGUCGAACGGCAGCGGGUCCAGCAAUGGAUGCCGGCGAGUGGCGCACGGGUGCGUAACACGUAUGCAACCUACCUUUAACCGGGACAUAACCUCGAGAAAUCGUGGCUAAUAUUCCAUAAUAUCUUUGAAUCGCAUGGUUUGAAGAUCAAAAUUCCGAUGGUUUUAGAUGGGCAUGCGCGACAUUAGCUAGUUGGUGAGGUAAUGGCUCACCAAGGCUACGAUGUUUAGGGGGUCUGAGAGGAUGAUCCCCCACACUGGUACUGAGACACGGACCAGACUCCUACGGGAGGCAGCAGUAAGGAAUAUUGGGCAAUGGGCGCAAGCCUGACCCAGCCAUGCCGCGUGCAGGAUGACAGCCCUACGGGUUGUAAACUGCUUUUAUACGGGAAAAAACCCUCUGACGUGUCAGAGGCUGAUGGUACCGUAAGAAUAAGCAUCGGCUAACUCCGUGCCAGCAGCCGCGGUAAUACGGAGGAUGCAAGCGUUAUCCGGAUUUACUGGGUUUAAAGGGUGCGCAGGCGGAACGACAAGUCAGUGGUGAAAUCUCCUGGCUCAACCAGGAAACUGCCAUUGAUACUAUCGUUCUUGAGUCCAGUUGAAGUAGGCGGAAUGUAGCAUGUAGCGGUGAAAUGCUUAGAUAUGCUACAGAACACCGAUAGCGAAGGCAGCUUACUAAACUGAAACUGACGCUCAUGCACGAAAGCGUGGGGAUCAAACAGGAUUAGAUACCCUGGUAGUCCACGCCCUAAACGAUGAUCACUCGUUGUUGGCAACUAUAUCGUCAGCGACUAAGCGAAAGCAUUAAGUGAUCCACCUGGGGAGUACGAUCGCAAGGUUGAAACUCAAAGGAAUUGACGGGGGCCCGCACAAGCGGAGGAGCAUGUGGUUUAAUUCGAUGAUACGCGAGGAACCUUACCUGGGCUAGAACGCAGAACGACGUUUCGGGAAACCGGAAUUCUCUUCGGAGCGAUCUGCGAGGUGCUGCAUGGUUGUCGUCAGCUCGUGCCGUGAGGUGUCGGGUUAAGUCCCAUAACGAGCGCAACCCCUAUUCUUAGUUGCCAUCAGGUAAUGCUGGGGACUCUAAGAAAACUGCCUACGCAAGUAGUGAGGAAGGUGGGGAUGACGUCAAAUCAGCACGGCCCUUAUGUCCAGGGCUACACACGUGCUACAAUGGCCGGUACAGAGGGCAGCCACCUGGUGACAGGGAGCAAAUCUCCAAAGCCGGUCUCAGUUCGGAUCGAAGUCUGCAACUCGACUUCGUGAAGUUGGAUUCGCUAGUAAUCGUAUAUCAGCAACGAUACGGUGAAUACGUUCCCGGGCCUUGUACACACCGCCCGUCAAGCCAUGGAAGCUGGGGGUACCUGAAGUCCGUGACCGAAAGGAGCGGCCUAGGGUAAAAUCAGUGACUGGGGCUAAGUCGUAACAAGGUAGCCGUACCGGAAGGUGCGGCUGGAAUACCU